rnacentral:rRNA from 1 species
AGUGAACGCUGGCGGUAGGCCUAACACAUGCAAGUCGAGCGGCAGCACAGUAAGAGCUUGCUCUUACGGGUGGCGAGUCGCGGACGGGUGAGGAAUACAUCGGAAUCUACUUUUUCGUGGGGGAUAACGUAGGGAAACUUACGCUAAUACCGCAUACGACCUACGGGUGAAAGCAGGGGAUCUUCGGACCUUGCGCGAUUGAAUGAGCCGAUGUCGGAUUAGCUAGUUGGCGGGGUAAAGGCCCACCAAGGCGACGAUCCGUAGCUGGUCUGAGAGGAUGAUCAGCCACACUGGAACUGAGACACGGUCCAGACUCCUACGGGGGGCAGCAGUGGGGAAUAUUGGACAAUGGGCGCAAGCCUGAUCCAGCCAUACCGCGUGGGUGAAGAAGGCCUUCGGGUUGUAAAGCCCUUUUGUUGGGAAAGAAAAGCAGCAGGUUAAUACCCCGCUGUUCUGACGGUACCCAAAGAAUAAGCACCGGCUAACUUCGUG